rnacentral:rRNA from 1 species
UACGAAGGGGGCGAGCGUUGUUCGGAAUUACUGGGCGUAAAGGGCGCGCAGGCGGUCCUUCAAGUCAGAUGUGAAAGCCCCGGGCUCAACCUGGGAACUGCAUUUGAGACUGGAGGACUUGAGGACGGGAGAGGAGAGUGGAAUUCCCAGUGUAGAGGUGAAAUUCGUAGAUAUUGGGAAGAACACCUAUGGCGAAGGCAGCUCUCUGGGACGGUACUGACGCUGAGACGCGAAAGCGUGGGGAGCGAACAGG